rnacentral:rRNA from 1 species
UACAGAGGUCUCAAGCGUUGUUCGGAUUCAUUGGGCGUAAAGGGUGUGUAGGUGGCGCCGUAAGUCGGGUGUGAAAUUUCGGAGCUUAACUCCGAAACUGCAUUCGAUACUGCGGUGCUUGAGGACUGGAGAGGAGACUGGAAUUCAUGGUGUAGCAGUGAAAUGCGUAGAGAUCAUGGGAGAACCAGUGGCGAAGGCGGGUCUCUGGACAGUUCCUGACACUGAGACACGAAGGCCAGGGGAGCAAACGGG